UGCCAGCAGCCGCGGUAAUACGAAGGGGGCUAGCGUUGUUCGGAAUUACUGGGCGUAAAGGGCGUGUAGGCGGAUUGUCUAGUCAGGGGUGAAAUCCCGGGGCUCAACCUCGGAACUGCCUUUGAUACUGACAGUCUAGAGUUCGUGAGAGGAUAGCGGAAUACCCAGUGUAGAGGUGAAAUUCGUAGAUAUUGGGUAGGACACCGGUGGCGAAGGCGGUUUUCUAGCUUACUCCUGACGCUGAGGCGCGAAAGCAAGGGGAGCAAACAGGAUUAGAUA
rnacentral:rRNA from 1 species